rnacentral:lncRNA from 1 species
AGAAGACAAACUCACACAAGUAAAGCUAGAGAAUUUAUAUGCCAAUAUGACAAACUUAGAAUUUUUUAUAGGAAUACCAAAGAAAUGGUGAUCAGAAGAGGCUUGGGUAAAUUAAUGAGAAAUUUGUAUCAUUCCAUAUCUGGUAAAUAAUUUAGUAUUUGGAAACCUCAACAUUCCAGGAUGGAAUUCAAUUUGGGAUUAGUUACUGGAAAUCGUGGCAUGUAUAGUGGGUUCUAAAACAAAUCAUGCAAAUGUAGAAGUAAAACAGGGAUCUAAACUGUAAAAUCCAUGACCUUCAUGACUGUUUUUUUCCAGAUUUAGCCCUUGUAGAAUUUUGCCCCCCUUUUUUUUUUUGCCUACAGUUUUCUCUAGUUAUGUUUAGCUCCUACCACUUGUUAAUAAAAUCUUUAUAGUUGUGCACUGUGUAAGAUGCUCUUGUUGAGUUGGAAAGGUUUAGAAACUGUAUCCCCUAUGAAUGAAUGUUAAUUGGAUCAGAAUCUUGCCUGUAACACAGCAGUGUUGCUUAUUCAAGCAAUGGAUUAGGCUGGUCAAGAGCCCCAGUCCUACAACCGACACUGCUCUAGAGACUGGCUUCAGCGCAAGGUACUUCUCUGUGGCUUCUACUAAACGUUGGUUUUGCGAACAAUGACAACAAUAACAUGCUAAUCAAUUUCACAAGAUCUGCAUUCUAAAUAAGUUCCAGUAAGAAAAUUAAGAUGCUGAGUUACUUAUUUAAGGAUUAGUUGUUCAUUCUCUUUGAAUCCAAAACUCUCAAAGAAAAUGGAAACUUCCUUGAAAAAAAGUUGAAUUUAAAAGGCAUUGAAAUCAUAAAGGAGACUGCUGAGUCUGUCUGAGAUAGAAGUAGUGGCCAAAAAGUUUUGUUGGAUAUAAGAUCCCACUGCAGCUCUGAAAUUAGUACAAGGCUAUUUGCAUACAGAGUGUAUGUACUUUAAGAAGCAGUAGUAGAACAUUCUGGUAUGCUUUGUUUGAAAAAAAAAAAAGAAAAAAAGCCCUCAAUGAAGCCUCUUUCAGACAUGUGUCAGGGACACUUUGUUGCUGAACUCUCUCAUAUUAACAAACCAAGCUGCUCUUCCUUUCAUUCCUUUGGCCACAGGACAGACGAAAUUCACCAAAGUCUCUACCACAGGCAUUCUCAGAUGGUGCUAAUAAAAAGAAGAAACCCAAACCAGAAUUGGCGGUCUACAUUGUAAGAGUUGCUAAAUAUCAUCACAAAGCAAUAAUUAUCCUGCAGCUUGGUG